UUACAGUGGGUCGUCCAUGCAACGGAUUUCCUGGUGUCCAAGCACGCGCAUUGACAGAUCGGGUGGAAGAGGAAGGUUUUCCGUUAGGGUUUGAGAUCUCUGAGAUGGCUGGGCAAGCUAAGGCUGUGGCAUCUGAAGGCCUUGUUACUCGCACCAGUUCAGCAUGCUGUGGUGCGGAUGGUUUUCACAGGCCAUUACCAAGCUUUGAGCAAAUUGGGAGCUACAAAAUUGUUCCUAGAUUCCCUUUUGGUUCUUCUUUCCAGUUUGGGACAUCCCAGCCAAAGAUUUCUUCCCUUGGAAGCCGAGGCCUCCAUGCGAGCCGGGUCAUGUCUGAAUCCACAAAAGUUUCCAACCGUCCAUUGUCGCCUCAUCUGCCUCUGAAGAAGCCACAACUUAGUGCGACGUAUUCAAUUUCUCAUCGUAUAUUUGGCGCUUCAGUAGCAUCUCUAAUCCUUCUAGUUCCUGUUGCUGUGAAGUUCAGCCUUAUGUAUGAUGUAUGAAAGCCAAUGGUUGCAGUAGUUUCACGUCACCAGCUUUUCUGAGUUCUGUUACAAACCAGUAUUUAUCUGUUUGCAUGACCAAGCCAUGGUGAUGGCAUGGGAACUGGUGUUGUGUUUUGUUUGCAAAUAACCAUUCCAGCUAAGUAGGAGUGGCUGGAAUAAGAACCAAUUGUUCUAUUUGGGUUGUUUACGUUUCUUAUUGCCUGGAAGACCAGGCCUAGUUUUUGCAGUUCUUCCUACUGUAAAAUUGACCUUCUGUUGCCUAUCCCGGCUGUGGAGCGGUAAACUCAUCUGAUUCCCAAAGAUGGAUUUUCUAAAAGGAAAAAAAGGGAAAAUAAGUGUUCUUGAA